UGGGGAAUCUUCCGCAAUGGACGAAAGUCUGACGGAGCAACGCCGCGUGAGUGAUGACGGCCUUCGGGUUGUAAAGCUCUGUUAAUCGGGACGAAUGGUUCUUGUGCGAAUAGUGCAAGGAUUUGACGGUACCGGAAUAGAAAGCCACGGCUAACUACGUGCCAGCAGCCGCGGUAAUACGUAGGUGGCAAGCGUUGUCCGGAAUUAUUGGGCGUAAAGCGCGCGCAGGCGGAUUGGUCAGUCUGUCUUAAAAGUUCGGGGCUUAACCCCGUGAUGGUAUGGAAACUGCCAAUCUAGAGUAUCGGAGAGGAAAGUGGAAUUCCUAGUGUAGCGGUGAAAUGCGUAGAUAUUAGGAAGAACACCAGUGGCGAAGGCGACUUUCUGGACGAAAACUGACGCUGAGGCGCGAAAGCCAGGGGAGCGAACGGG
rnacentral:rRNA from 1 species